GUUUGUAGCCUCCUGUAUAUUUGAGGCCCUUACUGUGACUACUCACUGGCAUUUUCACUUGUGAAUUCCUUCUGACGUCUUUACCCCACGACACUUGAGUGCUUUCUGCAUGACUGUACUGUGAAGUAGUUGGCCACUGGUAAACCAUCUCUAGCUUCACAUUAACAGACCCAGAGAUGCUCUAUCUGCCUCUAAAACACACAGUGGCUGUCCCAUGAGCACUCACUUCUCCGAAUGUAUGCCUCCAGCAGUGCAGGGCAUUAUGGCCCUUCUGAAUAAGUCCAGCAAUUGCCUAUACAGGCUUUAGGAGCCUGAUCUUGAGUGCUGUGGAUCUGAGAAGACUAUUCCAAUCCUAAGCAGUUCCAAGAGGAUUUUCCCUGACCCUCCAGCCCUCUUCUGCCACAAAAUGGCUCUCUAUUCAUUCUAAAAUGGACCAGAAAGCAGAAGGAUUGCCCUUGUUUGAAAAAUAAUGCCCUUGUUUGAGGAGUCCAGGCCAAGUAACUUCAUGCAGAAGGGAAGCUUCACCAUUUGGACAGGAGCUGAGCAGAUGUGACCUCAAUGUCUGCACUGCAUUAAAGCUUCGGUGUAAAUCUGAUGACCUCAUCUCCCCACAGCCUGUGAUUAAUUCUAUUUAUAAAAUACAGCUCAGCAGAUCAAAGUUAAUCCUUUCCAUGCCAAGUGGGGAGUACACAGUGAUGGGUCACUCUGUCAAAGGGUAGGAAACUAAAUCAGGCUGCUGUUCUUCAUCACGGAGUAGGAUACAGGGCUUUUACCUUCAAGAGGAAAGGUUUAAUGACUUUGAAGAACUUGUAAUGCCCAUUUCUUGAUACCCUUAAAUUCUAUUUCAAUUUUUUACUAUCUUCAAAAAAUAUAAAAUUCCUCAAAUAUCAGACUCAUAUUUUUAUUUGUUGCACCAUACAGCUUCCAAUACCUCACCAAUACACACACACACACACACACACACACAC
rnacentral:lncRNA from 1 species